GCCUCCGACCGUAUCGCUCCGCACGCGUCAAGAUCUUGUCAAAUCUCAAAAAGGUAAGCAGAGUUGAUCCUGGUUCGUACUUGGAUGGGAGAGAAGCCGAGAAAAUCACGUAUUGUAGGCU
rnacentral:rRNA from 1 species